CACACCAGCCAGCAUUUAUAUCUCGGUCCUCUUCGCUAGCGGACGCACACUGCACGAAUAAGAGUAUGUAAAGGAGAGAGAAAAUGAGUGAGCGCAUGGAAGGAAUUUGGCAACCUGGUAGAUUCUCAAUCAUUCUCAAUGAUUCUGCAAUUUGUUAUGAUUUGUUAAAAAGAAAAAAGCGGACGUAUUCUCCAAAUGCAAAGUAUGCAAAUUUGCUGCUGCUGACUCGGACGCUGACGGCGGCGUCAGCGCCUGCGUCUGCGCUAACGACUUGAACAAAGAAACCAAAGGAGCGCCCAGGCCCGGGCAGAACAAAGAGCUACACAGACAGCUAUUCAGAGAGAAAGAGAGAAGAGGGAAAUGCACCAGACAACAAAGAGAUCUAAAACACCCCCGGCCGCCUGCUAGGAGGCGUCCCGGCCAAAAAUUAAUUAGCAUUAUAAUUAAGAUAUUUGUCAACGACUCUUCUCCUCUCGACACCUAACUGUAAUUAAUUUAAUAAUAUCGAAGCAGAAACCAAAACAGAAACGAAGAAGCACAACAAUUCACAGUUCACCGAACCACAAAAAAAAACAAAAGAACGAAGAAACGCGGUGGCGGUUGCGGUUGCGGUGGCAGUGGCGGAGAAGGGAAAGGUGAAGCUUCAAAAGCUAUUCGUCACACACACACACACAUCUUAUUCUGUCAGUACUUUGAGCGUCUGCCUCUUCCCCACACUUUUUGUUUUUGCCAACGAAAAAUCAGAAACCAAAGCGCGCUGCUCGAAGCGAAACGAACGAAUGAGCGGCGACGCGACGCCGUCUCCGCUGGUAGAGUAUUGUAUUGGCCUGACAGCGGCGCUGGCAGUGGCAGCACCAGCAGCAGGUGGUCGAGACAUCAGCAGCGACGAUAAAGGACAAAUAUGAUAUGCAAAGUGCAACAAUGGCAAAAAUUUAAACGCAUAAUGCGUGCUCAAUGAACAAACAAAUUACGUACAAUUUGCAAAUUCAAUAAAGACGACUGACCGACGAACGUAAACAGAAGUAGCUAAAGCAGAAAAUGAAGAAGAAAAAGUAAGAGCAAAAUUAAAUACAUUGGAUAACAUUAA